AUUGCUUCUUGGUCUUUAGGCUAAGAUCAUGUGCAGUAUCUGUACCUUUUAGUUUAAUUUCUGAUAUGUCCUCUAAUAAACUGUCUAGGGUACAAAAAGAUCUCACAGAAGAGAGGAUGAUAUGGAAAAGGUACUUAGUUGCUGGAGGAAGAAUAUGCUGUACAUACAUUAUAUGCAUAAAUGGAAACCUCUU